AUUGAACGCUGGCGGCAGGCUUAACACAUGCAAGUCGAACGAGUGGCGGACGGGUGAGUAAUGUUUGGGAAUCUGCCUUAUGGAGGGGGAUAACUACUGGAAACUGUCGCUAAUACCGCAUACCAUCGGAUGUGCCCAAUUGGGAUUAGCUAGUAGGUGGGGUAAAGGCUCACCUAGGCGACGAUCCCUAGCUGGUCUGAGAGGAUGACCAGCCACACUGGAACUGAGACACGGUCCAGACUCCUACGGGAGGCAGCAGUGGGGAAUAUUGCACAAUGGGCGCAAGCCUGAUGCAGCCAUGCCGCGUGAAUGAAGAAGGCCUUCGGGUUGUAAAGUUCUUUCAGUGAGGAGGCGUUAAUCGCAGAAGAAGCACCGGCUAACUCCGUGCCAGCAGCCGCGGUAAUUC
rnacentral:rRNA from 1 species